UACGUAGGGUGCGAGCGUUGUCCGGAUUUAUUGGGCGUAAAGAGCUCGUAGGCGGUUUGUCGCGUCGGCCGUGAAAUCUCCACGCUUAACGUGGAGCGUGCGGUCGAUACGGGCAGACUUGAGUUCGGUAGGGGAGACUGGAAUUCCUGGUGUAGCGGUGAAAUGCGCAGAUAUCAGGAGGAACACCGGUGGCGAAGGCGGGUCUCUGGGCCGAAAUUGACGCUGAGGAGCGAAAGCGUGGGGAGCAAACAGG
rnacentral:rRNA from 1 species